GUGGCGAUUUAGGCGAAACAGUCAACUUUGGACAGCACGAGACAGGGCAGGAGACUGAGUGGCUCUGUUCUGAGUCGGUUGUUUCCUGCUGGUGCUUAAGAGAGACAAUUGUUCUCGUUCCUGGAUUGCUGCGUGUCAUCUGAGCCUUCCCUGCUAAUAGG